UACGUAGGGGGCAAGCGUUAUCCGGAUUUACUGGGUGUAAAGGGAGCGUAGACGGGCUUUUAAGUCAGCGGUAAAAAUUCGGGGCUCAACCCCGUCCGGCCGUUGAAACUGGGGGCCUUGAGUGGGCGAGAAGAAGGCGGAAUGCGUGGUGUAGCGGUGAAAUGCAUAGAUAUCACGCAGAACCCCGAUUGCGAAGGCAGCCUUCCGGCGCCCUACUGACGCUGAGGCACGAAAGUGCGUGGAUCGAACAGG
rnacentral:rRNA from 1 species